rnacentral:lncRNA from 1 species
CACACAACUACGUAUGUAUAAUAAGGGAAAGUCCCGUCCUAAAAAAAUAUCGCAUGCUUCAUUGGAAAUUGAUUGCUCGUCGGAAAUAAGUCACAUAUUUUUUCAAUCACAUUUUACUGAAGCUGGGUUUGCUGCAAAGUCGGAAUAGUUUGCUUUUCAGUCUUCUUGAAAUCUGCCACUCCGUUUUGGGUGCCAAUUGCGACUACCAUGAUUGACAUCUUGUGGAUUUGCGCGCUAUCUGUAGUGCUUAUACUGAUUCAGAGGCAAUCUAUGAACGUUUAUGCAGGCAAUCCUAGAACUGACUCAUCUCAGCAACCAGAAAGCUCAGACACUAGCA